rnacentral:rRNA from 1 species
GACGAACGCUGGCGGCGUGCCUAAUACAUGCAAGUCGAACGAGAGCGACCGGUGCUUGCACUGGUCAAUCUAGUGGCGAACGGGUGAGUAACACGUGGGUAACCUGCCCAUCAGAGGGGGAUAACAUCCGGAAACGGAUGCUAAAACCGCGUAGGUCUUCGAGCCGCAUGGCUUGAAGAGGAAAAGAGGCGCAAGCUUCUGCUGAUGGAUGGACCCGCGGUGCAUUAGCUAGUUGGUGAGGUAACGGCUCACCAAGGCCGUGAUGCAUAGCCGACCUGAGAGGGUGAUCGGCCACAUUGGGACUGAGACACGGCCCAAACUCCUACGGGAGGCAGCAGUAGGGAAUCUUCCGCAAUGGACGCAAGUCUGACGGAGCAACGCCGCGUGAGUGAAGAAGGUUUUCGGAUCGUAAAACUCUGUUGUUAGAGAAGAACAAGUGCUAGAGUAACUGUUAGCGCCUUGACGGUAUCUAACCAGAAAGCCACGGCUAACUACGUG